rnacentral:rRNA from 1 species
UACGAAGGGGGCUAGCGUUGCUCGGAAUCACUGGGCGUAAAGGGCGCGUAGGCGGCCAUUCAAGUCAGGGGUGAAAGCCCAAGGCUCAACCUUGGAGUUGCCUUUGAUACUGUUUGGCUUGAGACCGGAAGAGGUAAGUGGAACUGCGAGUGUAGAGGUGAAAUUCGUAGAUAUUCGCAAGAACACCAGUGGCGAAGGCGGCUUACUGGUCCGGUUCUGACGCUGAGGCGCGAAAGCGUGGGGAGCAAACAGG